CACAGAGGUCUCAAGCGUUGUUCGGAUUCAUUGGGCGUAAAGGGUGCGUAGGUGGCGGGGUAAGUCUGGUGUGAAAUCCUGGGGCUCAACCCCGGAACUGCACUGGAUACUGCUUUGCUAGAGUACUGGAGAGGGAACUGGAAUUUACGGUGUAGCAGUGAAAUGCGUAGAUAUCGUAAGGAAGACCAGUGGCGAAGGCGAGUUCCUGGACAGUUACUGACACUGAGGCACGAAGGCCAGGGGAGCAAACGGG
rnacentral:rRNA from 1 species